rnacentral:sRNA from 1 species
UAUAAUAGUGGUGCAGUAUUCUAGUCAGUUCUGCAUAUUCGUAAGACGGGCCUAAAAAUCCGUUAAAUGGCACAUCGAUGAAGUUCCUGGUGUUUUGCUUUGAACGCCCAGUUUGGGGCUGAUGCUGGGAGUUAAGGUUUAGGGGCAGUUUCCAAUGGCAUGGAAUUCCUGACCCCUUUUCCGUGGAGGCCUAUGACUGUAGCAGCCUCUGACACCUCCGGGUGCAAGCUGUUACGGCAUAGGGGAAAACCUGCGUUGCGGUUAGUACGGCGGCAGUUCCAAAAGGGCUGCUGCCGGAAUGCUGUGGGCAGCGUAGCCAGCCUUGAGUGGCUAUGGCGGAUGGAUGUUCAUCCCGGCAUGUGUUUUGGCCAGACACUGCCGGGCAUCGCAUCCUGAAACCAUCGUUGCAAAAGAGGAUAAGGAUAUGAAAGACUGUAUGGGAAAACCUCUAGGCUGUUGCGUUGCGGAUGGAUGUGGGAUUGCAAUGCGGACUCAGUGGUAGUCCGGUCAAAUAUAUGGUAACAUAUAUUUAUCUGCCUUUAAUGGGAAACCGCUGUUUUGGCGACAGAACAGCAGGCAGUUGGGAAAGCCUACCGGACCUUAAGCCGUAAAAUUUACCUCAUUCAUUACCCUAUUAUGUC